GGUCCUAUAGUGUAGUGGCUAUCACUCAGGACUUUGAAUUCUGCGACCUGGGUUCGAAUCCCGGUAGGACCU
rfam:Blastocystis hominis, Singapore isolate B (sub-type 7) whole genome shotgun sequence assembly, scaffold_27